GGGGAAAAACUGCUAUAAUCCAGAAGUUGUACUUUUGAAAUUCAUAUUUAUUAAAUAAAAGUUUUCUUAAAAAAGAAACAGCUGAGUCAGUUUGCAUUCAAGUUGAAAUAAAUUGUGUAAUAAAUUAAAAAAAAAAGUUUAGGCGUAUGGAGAAGUUAGCUGGACACCAUUUUGAAAUGUGAGGUUUGACCCAAAUUUGCUCCUCUUUGCUCCAUACUCCUUUUUAUCUCCUCAGAAGCUCUGCACGGUCUCAGACCAAAUAAAGACUCCCUAGAACCCAAGGGUGGCUGUCAGAGCCCGGCACACUUCCUUGUUGGGAAGCCAUAAACACAAUUACCAGAUCAUUAAGGAUUUUCAAAGAGGCGCUUUGAAGCAACGUGUGUGGAAUUGCCUGGUUGGGCGUGAGCUGUGUCCUGCACACACCAGCCUCCCUGGUGGCAGCCAUCUAGGAGAAGACAAAGUAUUGUGAACUGACACAGCUUAGUGGCAGGCGUGGGGAAAGCUGACAGGGACAGCCAGGCUCCACUCAUGGCCCUGAUGCUCUUGGCUGUUGUCCCCUUGGAUAAUACACCAGCUCGGGCUUGCCGAGCCUGUUUACUCACGUAUGAAAUAGCGUAGUGGAGGAUUGGUGGUGUCUUAGGUUUUUGUUACUACGACUGAAAUACCUGCGAGAGGCCACUCGGGAAGGAAGAGAUUUAUUUCAGCUAAAUGCUCUGGAGGUUCGCAGUCCGAGACCAAGUAGCCCCAUUAGUCUGGUGUCUGAUGAGGGUGGAGGCUGGCAGUGGGGGGACGUGUAGGGCACACUCCAGUGCUGAGCCAGAGAGCUGGCAGACAGGGAGCUUGGCUUACAUACUCAGUCCUCUCAGAAACCUGCCUUCCAAGGGCAUGUCCCCAGUGACCAAAGGACGUACCGCCAGGGUACGUUUGUGCCAAGGGUCGUUUGGAUAUUUAUAACACCACCCAUGGGCCAUACAAGAUUAUCAGCCUAAAAAUUCGCCUGCUAUAGAUUUGUUGAAUUUCACGUCCUGCCUGCAGCUGCCUUGACUGAGCCAGAGAAGGCCAGACCAAAUGAUUUUGAAGGCCUUAUACGACUUGUGGGCUGGACAUUCCCCUGCCUUGCACUAGGCCUACCUUGCAGAUACUAAAAUUGAAUCAAACCCCCACCCUUAAUUUAUCAACUGCUAACAUGAAUACGUUAACUGUUAACAUAAGACCUUGGAGUUUAAAAGUCUAUAUGAGGGAAGAAAUCAAAUCUUGUCCCAAACCUCUACCCCUUGAACUAGUUUGCUAGGACCCCCAUAACACAGUCCACAGACUGGGUGGUUUAAGCAAUGGGAACUUAUUUUCCCACAGUUCUGAGAUCAAGGUGUCAGCAGGAUUGAUUCCUCCGGAGUGCCCAGAGGGAAGGAUCAGCCAGGCCUCUCUCCCUGGCUGGUGGAUGCCGGCUCCUGCCUGUGUUCUCCCAUCAUAGUCCUUCUGUGGUGUCCAGACUCCUUUUUAUAAAGACUCCAGUCAUACUGGAUUAGGGCCCACUCUAAAAUGACCUCAUCUUCAAACAGUGCCACCUAGGGGUUAGGACUUUCAGCAUAUGAAUUUGGGGAGGACACAGUUCCAACCCAAAACACCCUCCAGAGCCUAGGCAGUUCCUCUCAUAAAAUAAGUGUAUUUCCCCAUCCUUUGCGGCUGUGUGGACCUUUUGACUGGCUCUGACCAAUGGGACAUUAGUAGACGUGAAGCAAGCAGGAUUCUGAAACGUGCCCCUGUGUUUCUUUCAGUCUAGUUCCUCUACAGAUGCGUUUAGCCUGAGAAAAAUCCCCAGGCUCGUCUGACACAGCAUGAGAGGCCUGAACUAUGAAACCAAGUUGUCCCAGUCAUCCCAGCUAAGGCUAUCCAAGAUCAGCAGUGGCCAGCAAGCCCCUAUACAUGUGAGUGAGUCCAACCAAGAUCAGCAGAGGUACCCAGAUAACCUGCAGCUAACCAUAGGCAUAUGAACAAGGCAGUGAAAUCAGGUGAACCCAGCCCAGAGCAGCUGAACUCAACAUCACUGCUGCUUGUUACACAGCCUUACUGGGUGGAACACAGGACUGAGCCAAGAUUAGCAAUACUUGAAUCAAGAGGACCCAUGAAGGAGUGCACAGCCCUUUGGAUCAAAAUGGGCGCAGAGUAGAAGACUGGGAAUUCAUUCAUUCAUUCAACAAAUGUUGAUUGCGGCCCUAUUCUGCCUCAGAUGGGGAAACUUUGACAUAGGGAGGUCCUGUGGAUGGUGACAGAGCGGGGGAUUGAGUUCCGUCCGGCAUUUGGAUGCAGGGUUUGCCUCAUCACUAUCCUUCUCUGGACCACUGUUGGGUUGAUUAAUUGAUUUGAAAGGCAGUGUGACAGAAGGAGAGAGAGAGAGAUCUGUCUGCUGGUUGACUCCCCAAAUGUCUGCAACAGCUCACUUCUGAUCCUUCCUGCUGCCUGAGGAAGAUGACCCAAGUGCUUGGUCUCCUGUGCCUAUGUGAGAGAUCCAGAAGAAGCUCCUGGCUCCUGGCUUCAGCCUGACCCAGCCCUGGCUGUUGUGGCCAUCUGGGGAGUAAACCAGCAGAUUAAAGAUCUCUCUUUAUCUCUCUGUGUUUCUUCCUCUUUUUAUUUCAAAUAAACAAAUACUUAAAACAAGAAAAAAGAGAAAUGUACAGAAAUAAUAGUAAUACCAGCUAAUCCACAAUGAUGGCCUGUGUGGUUGGCCAUGUGCUUCCUGUGCAGUAUCUCAUUUGAUCCAGCUCACAACAGGUUCGGAAGCACACUGUGCAGCAAGCAUCCAGGCAGGACUUGAACUUGCGUGAGCUAAAACCUGGGCUCUUGACCAUAGUUGUUUUAUUCCCUCUGGGAUGACUGCUCAGUGACCAAAUGACGUAGCUCAAAGGCUCAGUGACUGCCAGGGUAUAAGAAAAAGCUUAUUCACUUAUAGGCUGAUUUUCUGCCUUGCUGGUGAGUUACUGAAUCUCUCUGGACUCCAGUUCAUCAUUCAAAUGGAAGCAGUUGGCCGAUCAGAGUUUUUCAAAAAUGCUUUAAUGUGGUGAAAUACUUUUUUAAUGCAAUCUAAUAUGUAAAACAGAUAGGAGUGGUUGAUAGCCUGGGGAGGAGCCCCAAACCUCACCUUCUCCUUUAGCAGCAUCUGGGGUGGGGCAAAUGUUCAGUGAACUGCUGGACCAGCUAGAGAGACUUCCAGCCCUCCAGUGUGCCCAGUCUUGCCAG